GACGAACGCUGGCGGCGUGCCUAAUACAUGCAAGUCGAACGCUGAAGGAGGAGCUUGCUCUUCUGGAUGAGUUGCGAACGGGUGAGUAACGCGUAGGUAACCUGCCUGGUAGCGGGGGAUAACUAUUGGAAACGAUAGCUAAUACCGCAUAACAGUAGAUGUUGCAUGACAUUUGCUUAAAAGGUGCAAUUGCACCACUACCAGAUGGACCUGCGUUGUAUUAGCUAGUUGGUGGGGUAACGGCUCACCAAGGCGACGAUACAUAGCCGACCUGAGAGGGUGAUCGGCCACACUGGGACUGAGACACGGCCCAGACUCCUACGGGAGGCAGCAGUAGGGAAUCUUCGGCAAUGGACGGAAGUCUGACCGAGCAACGCCGCGUGAGUGAAGAAGGUUUUCGGAUCGUAAAGCUCUGUUGUAAGAGAAGAACGAGUGUGAGAGUGGAAAGUUCACACUGUGACGGUAUCUUACCAGAAAGAGACGGCUAACUACGUG
rnacentral:rRNA from 1 species